rnacentral:rRNA from 1 species
GUGAGGAAUUUUGCGCAAUGGGGGCAACCCUGACGCAGCAACGCCGCGUGAGUGAUGAAGGCCUUCGGGUCGUAAAGCUCUGUCAGGUGGGAAGAACCUAUUACAUGUGAACAGUAUGUGAUACUGACGGUACCACUGAAGGAAGCACCGGCUAACUCCGUGCCAGCAGCCGCGGUAAUACGGAGGGUGCAAGCGUUAUUCGGAUUUACUGGGCGUAAAGGGCGCGUAGGCGGUUUAGCAAGUCAGAUGUGAAAUCCCGGGGCUUAACCCCGGAAGUGCAUCUGAUACUGUUAGGCUUGAGUAUGGUAGAGGGAAGUGGAAUUCCUGGUGUAGCGGUGAAAUGCGUAGAUAUCAGGAGGAACACCGGUGGCGAAGGCGACUUCCUGGACCAAAACUGACGCUGAGGCGCGAAGGUGUGGGGAGCAAACAGGAUUAGAAACCCCUGUAGUCC